rnacentral:rRNA from 1 species
GCAUGCAAGUCGCGCGACGGACCUUCGGGUUACGGAGCGGCGAACGGGUGAGUAACACGUGAACAAUCUGUCCCUACAUUCCGGAUAAUUGGCCGAAAGGCCUUGUAAUACGGGCGAGGAUGGUGGUGAGGCAUCUCACUAUCAGGGAAGGUGCAACGCAAGUUGUGCCGUGCAGGGAGGGGUUCGCGGCCUAUCAGUUAGUUGGUGGGGUAACGGCCUACCAAGACGACGACGGGUAGCUGGUCUGAGAGGAUGGUCAGCCACAUUGGAACUGAGACACUGUCCAGGCUCCUACGGGAGGCUGCAGUCGAGAAUCUUGGGCAAUGCACGAAAGUGUGACCCAGCGACGCCGCGUGGAGGAUGAAGGCCCUUGGGUUGUAAACUCCUUUUAUGGAAGAAGAACGUCCCUUCGGGGACUUGACGGUACUCCAUGAAUAAGCCACGGCUAACUACGUGCCAGCAGCCGCGGUAAUACGUAGGUGGCAAGCGUUGUCCGGAUUUACUGGGCGUAAAGCAUGUGUAGGCGGACCUUUAAGUAGAAAGUGAAAGGUAGGAGCUCAACUCCUACAUUGCUCUCUAUACUGGAGGUCUUGAGUGUCGGAGAGGAAGAUGGAACUGCACGUGUAGCGGUGAAAUGCGUUGAGAUGUGCAGGAACACCAAUGGCGAAGGCAAUCUUCUGGACGAAAACUGACGCUGAGACACGAAAGCCAAGGUAGCAAACAGGAUUAGAUACCCUGGUAGUCUUGGCCCUAAACUAUGUUCACUAGGUGUCGGGGGUUUCCCUCGGUGCCGCAGCUAACGCAUUAAGUGAACCGCCUGGGGACUACGGCCGCAAGGUUGAAACUCAAAGGAAUUGGCGGGGGCCCGCACAAGCGGUGGAGCAUGUGGCUUAAUUCGAUGCAACGCGAAGAACCUUACCAGGGCUUGACAUGCUACUGCAAGCUGCCGAAAAGCAGUCGCCUUCGAGGGUGUAGCACAGGUGGUGCAUGGCUGUC